AUAAUUAUUUUGGACAUUGGAAGAAACGAUUUCAAAAAGAGAAAACCCCUAAUAGUCCCCCCUCCCAUUUCCCUCCCUCAGCCGCCACCCUCCAAAAUCCACUCCCUCGCCAUUUUUUCCGACCAACAUCACAACCAAACUACAUCACUACCUCUACAUUUUUCUCAACAAAUGACCCAAAAACUCAAACGGCCUCCGAAACCAACACGGACACCAAGUCACUUUCACCAACGGUAACAACCACAAUGCAGUUGCAACUCCGAUAGCAACCAGCAACCAGCACCCUACCUCUUCCUUGCAUUUUCCAGGUGCAAAAUAACCCAAAUCCACCUGGAACAACCACCAUUUCCUCCAUCCAAACAAUUUGAAACCACCAUACUUUCCUUUUUCUCCUUUCCCAAUAGAAAAAAACCACCAGAUUCACAUCCAAAAUGCACCACCACAAACCACCAAUUUUCGGAAAACCCUCAUCCCCGUUUCCUCUUUUUCUUGCUGCAACGAGCCGCUCCGGCGAGGAGCGAGGAGCUCCGAUGAACCAGAUCUAGCGAACCGGCCAGCCCUUCCCUUGCCCCCCCUACCUCAUGAUUUUUCUUUUGUUUUGCAGGUUUCACGUGAGCUACGCGUUUCAAAGUUUCGGUAAUGUAAGCAAACAACACACCUUCAUUUCCAUCAGAUCUGAUCGAGUUUUGCCGGUAAAUAGCAACCAAAACGGUACCAACAACUCAGACAAACAUCCACUCCGGCGAAACACAAGAACCCUGGUGAGAUCUCACCUGAGUAGAUAUGCCCAGCUCUUGAGUCUCCGAGGAAAUCACAAGGGUACACCGAGUUGCUUUCCAUCGAAGCUAUUCGAAUGAAAUUCGAAUUGUAAUUUUAUAUAUUAUUGUGUAUAUUAUUGGCGAUAUGCAAACUUAGGUCAUUUUUUAUUAUUUUUUUAUUUUAUUAUCUGUGUAUAUUGAAUGCAUAUUAUACUUGUGUAUAGUUUAUUUCCUCCUCAAUUUGAAAAAAAAUAAAUCUGGUCGGGACCACAUUUGUGGAUUUCAAAGGGUGCUUGACACCUUUCCUUCGGAA